CGCUCCGGUGUCCUAGUGGUUAGAGUAUCAGCCUCAGAUGCGGUAGGUUGUGGGUUCGAUACCCGGUCGAGUGA